rnacentral:lncRNA from 1 species
GACUACAUCACCACAGGAGAUGGGGACAUCCUAAAAAAACUUCUGGCAGUCUUAACAUCUCUAGCAGUGACCCCAGACCUGUCCUGGCUCCAGACCUUUUAUGGAAUCCCCAGCAUCGUUGUGAAAUAUGUUUCUGCUGUGAUACCUGACAAGUUUUAUGAUCAGAUAACGAGCUGGAUUUAAAAGUGCCUCCUGCGAAAGUGAUUAAAGGAGAAGCAGCUCCAGCUACGCUUGGAAAAGCUAUUUAGCUUGCUUAUUGGGGAAAUGUCUUCCCACCUACUUACUACC